rnacentral:rRNA from 1 species
AUUGAACGCUGGCGGCAGGCCUAACACAUGCAAGUCGAGCGGAGCGGCGGACGGGUGGGUAAUGACUAGGAAUCUGCAUGGUAGAGGGGGAUAACGUCCAGUAACGGGAGCUAAUACAGCAUCCUAUCAGAUGAGCCUAGGUCGUAGUAGCUAGUUGGUAGGGUAAAGGCCUACCAAGGCGACGAUCCGUACCUGGUCUGAGAGGAUGAUCAGUCACACUGGAACUGAGACACGGUCCAGACUCCUACGGGAGGCAGCAGUGGGGAAUAUUGGGCAAUGGGCGAAAGCCUGAUCCAGCCAUGCCGCGUGUGUGAAGAAGGUCUUCGGAUUGUAAAGCACUUUAAGUUGGGAGGCGUUACCAACAGAAAAAGCACCGGCUAACUUCGUGCCAGCAGCCGCGGUAAUUC